AGGUUGUGUUGUGGACACUUCCUCAAUAGAUUUUUGAAACGUUCCCAAGCUUCAUAGAGAUUUUCAUCCGCAGCUUGGGCAAACGUCAUUAUGUCAUUCUUCAACUU